CCCCUAGACACGAAUCUGCAAACCGUUUGGUUCGAAUCAACCUACAUCGUCUCGAACCUUCAUCUGAAGAUUCGAGCCAAACCUCAACUUCAUCUGAGUUCAGACCUGGGUCAUCUAGUUUUACUUGAGGUAUUUCCUUUUCCCUUUCUGUUUGUUCUAUUUUUUGUUUGUUUUGUUAUUCGUUUGUGUAGUUAGAAUAAUUUUAUUUCCAAUUUCCGUGCUUUGUUCUUCUUCUUCUCCAAAUCAGACCUCUUAUUUGGUCGAAAUUUUCGUCUGCUCGUUGUUAAGUGUAUGUGUUAAACUAUAUAAUCGAUUGGAAUGAGUUUGGUCGAUUAAUUAGUUUCCAGGGUAAUUCCCUGUUUUGUCAGUACAACUUGAAUCACCUAUGUGUACUGUUCGAUUCUGAUCAUUAGCUAUUGACUUGUAUGUUGUAAUUCAUAUAGUCGAUUGGAUAAAUGUCGUCAAUUAGUUGGGAUGUUAGAAACCUGUAAAUUGUUCAAGUUUUAAUGAUCUGUCAGUUUAAUGCUAAUAUACCACUAAGCUAAUGAAUAAAAUAGGGAUCAAUAAUAGGAGUGAUAAUGUUGUUAAGUGCCUUUAGUGGCUGGAAAUAAGAAAGAGCAUGAGGUUUAAUUUUAAAAUAGAAAUGGCCAGUUAAAAGACUGACAGAUUUUUUGAAUUAACUAGUGAAAAAGGGUACUACUUGAGUUGGCUUAGUGACUUUACUGGUGGGAAAUCAGUAACAGCAUGGGUUUAAUGAUAAAAAGGUAGAAAUGCACAUGAGGAGGGAAUAAAAUAGGCUAGAAGUGAAAUGUUUGAAUAAAAGAAUGGCCAAUUCUAGUCUUUAAAUGGACUGGAUUUUGGAUAAGAAAGAGGUGGUUUUUAGAACCUAAGGGAGUCUAUUUUUUUAUAUAUUUUUGAACUAGGAAAGAGAGCUCAUUCUUUGGACUUCAAUCCUAGAUAGACAAAAACAAAAAAGGGCAAAAGAAAAACCUCUAUUGCUCCAUUGAAGCUGAAAAAUUCUGAUUUUCUUCACUGUUUGUUUUAAAUCAGCACUAACUGCUAUUGUUCUAUUGAAACUUCAAGCUUCUUUCUUUGAGCAUUCGAAAAUCAAAAACUAUUAUUCCACUGUUGUUUUGGAUUCACCUAUUUUUGCCUGUGAUUAACAUUGUUAUUUCCGGGUCUCAACUGAGUCUUUCGAGUCUGUUUUGGUUGGAUAUUUGGUACUGUUUCAUUGGGAUAUUUAUGUCUUGUUCACUGGGAUUUAUUCUGCUCGGUUGUUACUGCUGCUGUUGUUGUUGCUGAUUUUCUUCUUCUUCUUGUUCGUUGUGUUUCAACAUCCAGGUACACGUUCGAAUUAAGCUUUGAUGUAACUCUGACUUGAAAGGUUGAAAAAAAAAUGGAAAUAUUCAUGCUUUGCCCCCUGUUGCUCA
rnacentral:lncRNA from 1 species